rnacentral:rRNA from 1 species
UGGGGAAUUGUUCACAAUGGGCGCAAGCCUGAUGACGCAACGCCGCGUGGGGGAUGAAGGUCUUCGGAUCGUAAACCCCUGUCGAAUGGGACGAAAGACUCGCGAGUGAAUACUUCGCGAGAGUGACGGUACCGUUAAAGGAAGCCACGGCUAACUCUGUGCCAGCAGCCGCGGUAAUACAGAGGUGGCAAGCGUUGUUCGGAAUUACUGGGCGUAAAGGGCGCGUAGGCGGCCCUCUAAGUCAGACGUGAAAUCCCCGGCUUAACCUGGGAACUGCGUCUGAUACUGGAGGGCUUGAGUAUGGGAGAGGGAUGUAGAAUUCCAGGUGUAGCGGUGAAAUGCGUAGAUAUCUGGAGGAAUACCGGUGGCGAAGGCGGCAUCCUGGACCAUUACUGACGCUGAGGCGCGAAAGCUAGGGGAGCAAACGGGAUUAGAUACCCGAGUAGUCCCUGAGCGGGC